CCCAUAAGGGGCGCUGCUUCUGGUACACAAAUCCAGAAGAAGAAGAGGCGAGCAUGCGCAUAAAGGCUGCCCCCCGAACCACUAACAACACAAACAAACAGCUCUUCUACGAUGGCAAACUAGAUUCUCAAUAAAUAAUGGCUUAGCAACCCAACAAGGGACAUGAUAUGCUGCAGAACGAUUACAAGCUUGUAGUCCGCCAUCAUCAUUUUUGUUGUGAUUUCUGAGACUCCGCGGGCCUAAGAGCCAUUGGCUAGGAGUUUCAGGCGUCCACACGAAACCAAAACGAAACCGGGUAGAUUUGAAACCACCUCCGAGGGUGGUUUCAGAAGUUUGCGGUUUCGGUCAGCGGAUUCGCCGGCUUCGUGUGGACGGAAGGCCGAACCGUACAAGACCUUUGCGGUUUCGCCAUGAAAUCGGCUUCGUGUGGACGGGGCCUUAGAGGUGACGCUGGGAAACUGGGAAAAAAGGCCAGUAUUACUGGAGCUGUGCGCAGAGCUGCGGCCGGCCCUAGAGCGCCACACAGCCAGGAGCCAGGGGUUGUCCGUGCCCACACAGGUGCUGACCACGCUGGGGUUCCUGGCAACAGGGGCCUUCCAGCGGGAGCUGGC
ensembl:lncRNA